GGUUGUGUAGUGUAGUGGUGAGCACGCUGGAUUUUGAUUCUACUAAAUGAGUCUUAACCUUCCAGCGACCCCGGUUCGAUCCCGGGCACGACCU